AACGUAGGACACAAGCGUUAAUCGGAAUUACUGGGCGUAAAGCGUGCGCAGGCGGCUUCGCAAGUCAGGCGUGAAAUCCCCGGGCUUAACCUGGGAAUGGCGUCUGAAACUACGGAGCUGGAGUGUGGCAGAGGGAGGUAGAAUUCCACGUGUAGCGGUGAAAUGCGUAGAUAUGUGGAGGAAUACCGAUGGCGAAGGCAGCCUCCUGGGCCAACACUGACGCUCAUGCACGAAAGCGUGGGGAGCAAACAGG
rnacentral:rRNA from 1 species